UUAUAUUACCGACAACGUCCAGGAUCUCAGAGAAUAUGUUAUUGCAAUUGACAUAUGCAGUGUCACAAGCAGAUUCACCAUCUGUGCCACAAGCUUUGAUUGCCUGCUCACAUUCUGGAACCAACUUGUUAAUUCUGUCAUAAUCAUAUUUUUGAAUUAACUUCUUGUCCAGUGCAUAAUCUGUGUAUGCUUUGUACUGAAUACCAGGAUCAGUAAGACCAUUGCCAAUGGCAAAUCCCUUGAGGUUUAUCUGAAUCCCUUCUUUGUUUUUGUUUCCUUGGUGGACCCGGGCAGCAAAAGCAGGGAUGUAGUGCCCAGCAUAAGAUUCUCCAGUUAUGUAAAAAUCAUUUUUGACAAACUGGGGAUGCUCUUUGAAGAAAGCCUGCAAGAAAUCAUACAAGUCAUUGCUAACACCAUUUUCGUCGUGGCGAAUGUCAUUAGCAUCUGUUGUGUAACUGAAUCCAGUUCCAAUAGGCUGAUCAACGUAUAUCAGGUUCGAUGCCUUAUCCCUCCAUAUAAGAGACUUGUUCUUUGAAAGAUGGAAAGGACCAUUUUCAUAAAACAAUGCCAAUUCACUGCUGCAUCCAGGCCCUCCUGUCAACCAUAUGACGACAGGAUCAUCCUUGCUGUUCCGUGAUUCGAAAAAAAAGUAGAACAACCUUGCAUCUUUUGCAUGGGGAAGCUUAUAGUAUCCAGCGUGGUGACCCAAAUCCUGAACAGAAAUCUCCGGAUCACCAAGAAGAUGCAACUUUAAUGGUUUCUCAACAAUCUGAGGAGCAGUUACUAAAGAAUCAACAUGGGUUGGCAUGUUGAUGGAGUGCUUAGGGAAUAAGUUAAAGGCUCUUAUCAUCUUUUCUGCUUGCAGUUUUGGCAAGUUGGAAGCUGAAGACAAGUGAAGUUGGUCAUGAUGAUGAGAGGCUGCAUAUGAGAAAGGUGAAGAAAUGGAAAGAAAAAGAAACAAAGAAAGGAAUUUGUAAGAGAAAGUUGAUGCCAUAAUAAUAUUGCUUCUGAGCUUUGGAUUUG
rnacentral:misc_RNA from 1 species